rnacentral:lncRNA from 12 species
CCACCUCAACACUUACAGGACCCCCGUCCUCCUCAGGCCCUGCACUUUGGCUUUGGGAAAUAUAGGGCUGUGUCUAUGCUGAUAGAAGCCCACAGCUCCUCAGGACGCACGGUGAGUUUUCUGGGGGAUGUGGGGCCAUGUGCAGGCUGAAAGGAGCCCCCUGCCAACUGAAGACCUGCUGUGAGGCUUCCAGAUGAUGUGAGGCAUAGUCCACAGUGAGAGGAGACCCGGGUCCUCAGGACCCGCUGACUAUGACUCAGGAAGAUGUGGGGCCACGUCCAUACUCACAGGAGCCCUGCUUCCUCAGGACCCCCUGGAGGACUCUGGAGGCGCCGUUGGGGGCCACGUCCACAUCAGAAGGGACUCCUCAGAACCACAGGAUUCCCAGGAUAGAUGUGGGCCCGCAUCCACCCUGACAGGAACACCUGGGCCGCUUCAGGACCUGCAGGGAGGCUUCAGGAAGCUGUGGUGCCGCGUCCACUCUGGCAGGAGCUCCCGGGCCACUCAGGACAUAAUUUGAGUCUUCUGGAAUGAUCAGCACUUUGGCUUCAGGACAUAUGGGGCUGCGUCUAUGCUGACAGGAGCCCACAGCCCCCUCAGGACCUGCAGUGAGUUUUCUGGGGGCCAUGGGGCCAUGUCCAGGCUGACAGGAGCCCUCGGCCUCCUGAGGACCUGCUGUGAGGCUUCCAGAGGAUGUGAGGCAUAGUCCACAGUGACAGGAGACCCAUGUCCUCAGGACCCGCUGACUAUGACCCAGGAACACAUGGGGCCACAUCCACACUCACAGGAUCCUGGCUUCCUCAGGACCCCCUGGAGGACUCUGGAGGCGCCAUUGGGGGCCACGUCCACAUCAGAAGGGACUACUCAGAACCACAGGGACUAGCAGUGACGUUCAGGAAGAUGUGGGCCCGCAUCCAUGCUGCCAGGAGCCCUGGGCCGCCUCAGGUCCUGCGGGGAGGCUUCAGGAAAUUGUGGGCCCGCAUCUACGCUGACAGGAGCCCCUGAGCUGCUUCAGGACCCAUGGGGACACUUCAGGAAGAUGUGGCACCGCUUCCACUCUGGCAGGAGCUCCAGGCCCCCUCCGGACAUAAGUUGAGGCUUCUGGAAGCUGGGUGCCACAUUCACGGUGACAGGACCCCCAUCCUCCUCAGCACCUGCACUUUGGCUUUGGGAUGUAUGGAGAUGUGUCUAUGCUGAUAGGAGCCCACAGCUUCCUCAGGACUUGCGGUGAGUUUUCUGGGGGACGUGGGGCCAUGCCCAGGCUGACAGGACCCCCCGGCCUCCUAAGGACCUGCUGUGAGGGUUCCAGAGGAUGUGAGGCAUAGUCCACAGUGAUAGGAGAAUUGGCGUCCUCAGGACCUGCUGACUAUGACUCAGGAACAUGUGGGGCCACGUCCGCACUCACAUGAGCCUGGAUUACUCAGGACCCCGUGGAGGACUCUGGAGGCGCCAUUGGGGGCCACGUCCACAUCAGAAGGGACUACUCACAACCAUAGGGUAAGUGAAUGGGUAGAAUAAAUGGCAGGGUCAGGGGAGGGGAGGCA